rnacentral:rRNA from 1 species
CCUACGGGUGGCAGCAGUGAGGAAUAGUGGUCAAUGGACGCAAGUCUGAACCAGCCAUGCCGCGUGCAGGAAGACGGCUCUAUGAGUUGUAAACUGCUGUUGUAAGAGGGAAAACGCAGAUAAGCGAAUCUGUCUGAAAGGAUCGGACGAAUAAGGAUCGGCUAACUCCGUGCCAGCAGCCGCGGUAAUACGGAGGAUUCAAGCGUUAUCCGGAGUUAUUGGGUUUAAAGGGUGCGUAGGCGGUCGGAUAAGUUAGAGGUGCAACGCCGAGGCUCACUUUCGGAAUUGCCUCUGAUACUGUUCGGCUAGAGAGUAGUUGCGGUAGGCGUCAUGUAUGUUGUAGCGGU